rnacentral:rRNA from 1 species
CACGUAGGGGGCGAGCGUUGUCCGGAUUUACUGGGCGUAAAGGGUGCGUAGGCGGCCGCGCGCGUGGCGGGGGAAAUCUCUCGGCUUACCCGGGAGGGUGCUUGCCAGACGGCGUGGCUUGAGGGACGGAGAGGGGCGUGGAAUUCCGGGUGGAGCGGUGAAAUGCGUAGAUAUCGGAAGGAACGCCGGUGGCGAAAGCGAGCUGCUGGAUCCCUCCUGACGCUGAGGCGCGAAAGCCAGGGGAGCGAACGGG